rnacentral:misc_RNA from 1 species
AGUUCCCGAGCUGCACCAAGCAACUGAGACUCCACAUCAGCCCGUACCAUAUGGAAGACCAGCAGAAACAUACUCAGAGGCUGGCUCCUCAUCUCAGCCACCUGAACCAAUGACACAUCAAGUUACUCAGCAGUUCCAGCAAAUUGCUGUGCAACCAGAAGCAGGUGCAUCCCAAGCAAUUCCACCUGUAUCGAGCAAGUCAAUGAGGUUUCCACUUCGGCCUGGAAAGGGUAGUAAUGGAACUAGAUGCAUUGUUAAGGCCAAUCACUUCUUUGCCGAGUUACCUGACAAAGACUUGCACCAGUAUGAUGUUUCAAUUACACCAGAGGUAGCUUCCCGAGGUGUCAACCGCGCUGUCAUGGAGCAGCUUGUAAAGCUUUACAGAGAAUCCCAUCUUGGGAAGAGGCUUCCAGCCUAUGAUGGAAGAAAAAGUUUGUACACCGCAGGGCCCCUCCCUUUUGUUCAAAAAGAUUUUAAAAUCACACUUCUUGAUGAUGAUGAUGGACCCGGUGGUGCUAGGCGAGAAAGGGAGUUUAAAGUUGUGAUCAAGCUGGCUGCUCGUGCUGAUCUUCAUCAUUUAGGGAUGUUCUUACAAGGGAGGCAGGCGGAUGCACCCCAGGAGGCCCUACAGGUUCUUGAUAUUGUUCUGCGUGAGUUGCCAACAAGUAGGUAUUGUCCCGUGGGCCGAUCAUUCUAUUCCCCUGAUUUAGGACGAAGACAACCACUAGGUGAAGGUUUGGAGAGCUGGCGUGGUUUCUACCAAAGUAUUCGUCCUACGCAGAUGGGAUUAUCCCUGAAUAUUGAUAUGUCUUCCACAGCAUUCAUUGAGCCACUGCCGGUCAUUGAAUUUGUGAGCCAGCUUCUGAAUCGGGAUAUCUCUUCUAGACCAUUGUCUGAUGCUGAUCGGGUUAAGAUAAAGAAGGCCCUGAGAGGUGUAAAGGUGGAGGUCACUCAUCGUGGGAAUAUGAGGAGGAAGUACCGCAUAUCUGGUUUGACAUCUCAAGCAACAAGAGAGUUGACUUUCCCUGUAGAUGAAAGAGGUACCAUGAAAGCUGUUGUGGAAUACUUUCGAGAAACGUAUGGUUUUGUUAUUCAGCAUACUCAGUUGCCUUGUCUUCAAGUUGGAAAUACACAAAGGCCAAAUUAUUUGCCUAUGGAGGUCUGCAAGAUUGUGGAGGGGCAGAGGUACUCCAAACGCUUGAAUGAGAGGCAGAUAACAGCACUUCUGAAAGUGACCUGCCAGCGUCCUCAAGAGAGAGAGAAUGAUAUUCUUCAGACUGUUCGUCACAAUGCUUAUUCAGAUGACCCAUAUGCGAGGGAAUUUGGUAUUAAGAUUAGCGAGAAGCUUGCUCAAGUUGAGGCUCGCAUUUUGCCUGCACCUUGGCUUAAAUACCAUGAUACAGGUCGAGAAAAAGACUGUCUACCACAAGUGGGCCAAUGGAAUAUGAUGAAUAAGAAAAUGGUAAAUGGAGGAACAGUGAACAACUGGAUCUGUAUAAAUUUUUCUCGCAAUGUGCAAGACAGUGUUGCCCGGGGAUUUUGUUCUGAGCUUGCACAGAUGUGCAUGAUAUCGGGCAUGAUCUUCAACCCGAAUCCUGUUUUACCACCAGUGAGUGCUCGCCCUGAUCAAGUUGAGAGGGUCCUGAAAACUAGAUUUCAUGAUGCUAUGACGAAGUUGCAGCCGAAUGGGAGGGAGCUCGAUCUGUUGAUCGUCAUAUUGCCCGACAAUAAUGGCUCCCUUUAUGGUGAUCUAAAACGAAUUUGUGAAACUGAUCUUGGCAUUGUCUCGCAAUGCUGCUUGACAAAACAUGUGUUUAAGAUGAGCAAGCAGUAUUUAGCCAAUGUGUCCCUUAAGAUUAAUGUGAAGGUUGGAGGUAGAAACACCGUGCUUGUUGAUGCGAUCUCUAGGCGAAUUCCCCUUGUCAGC